UGGGGCAGUGUGAGAUGACGGGACCAGAGCACGUUCCUGGCUGCAGAGCCCACAAGUCACGUUGUCUCUGAGAGUGGAAUGUCACCAUUGCCCAGGUGGGGAUUUUUGUGUGUUUUGUUCACUGCUGUACACCCAGCCCCCAGCACAGCGCCUGUCCAGGACAAGUGCCCAGUAAACACUCGGGAAGCAAUGCAAGCGUCCUCCCAGCAGCUCCUGCAAGCAGACCCCCGACCCAAGCCCUUCCUUCUGCCUCCACUGCCACCAUUGCUGCUCAUCUCUGCUGGCACAGAAGUCUCUUCCCUGGUCUUCCAGAAAUCCCCUCUCCACACUCAGCCAGAGGGAGCUGUUAAAACUGCGGGCCAGCCCACAUCCGUCCACAGCAAAGUCCUCUCUAAGGGAUCCCUGUUGCUUGGAGAAUAAACCCUCAGAUUCGUUCCUUCCUUGGCUCUCGGGGCCUCCUCUCUGACCUGCCUCUGUCUCCCCUCCCAGCCUUCCUCGUCACUCACCCUCCAGCCACGCUGGCUUCCUCCUUGCUCCUGAAACAGCCUGAGGCCCACACUGCCCUGGGCCCUUUGCACUGGCUGUUCCCUCUGCCUGGAACACUUCUCCCAGGCGUCCACAGGGCUCCCUCCCGCAACUCCUUUGGGUGCCCACAUGGGAAGCCAUCCCUGACCGCCCCCCCCCACUUCCUUCUGAGCACAGUGGGGUCUUUCUACCUAGUCGUGAGGGCAGGGAUUUUUGUCUGCUGUGUUCUCUGUGUGCCCCCAGUGCCAUCACAGUGCCUGGCAGAUGGUAAGUGCUCGACACACAUCAGCUGACUGCCUGAAUGAACAACUCUAUGAGCCGAUGGCAGAUAAGGACACUGAGGUCCUCUGGGGUAGGUGACCAGCCCAAGGCCACACAGCUGGUCUGAGAUUAGGCCAGGAGAGGAGCCCGGGUUGGUCACAUCCUGGAGUUGGCAUCUUGGAAACUGCAUCAGGAGAAUAAUAAAGAUGAGACGCAGGCUCUAACAAGUGGAUACCAGUGACUCUCGCCCCACCAGCCCCAGCCCUGCAGCCUUGGG
rnacentral:lncRNA from 1 species